rnacentral:rRNA from 1 species
CGUCGGCGACCGGCGCACGGGUGCGUAACGCGUAUGCAACCUACCCAUUACAGGGGGAUAACACUGAGAAAUCGGUACUAAUACCCCAUAACAUCCAGGGAGGCAUCUUCUUGGGUUGAAAACUCCGGUGGUAAUGGAUGGGCAUGCGGCGCAUUAGCUAGACGGCGGGGUGACGGCCCACCGUGGCGACGAUGCGUAGGGGUUCUGAGAGGAAGGCCCCCCACACUGGGACUGAGACACGGCCCAGACUCCUACGGAAGGCAGCAG